CGGCGCUGCUGCACCCCGCCGCGCUGCGCCGCCUGCUCACCGCGCUGUGAGUCUGCCGCUGCUGCAGUCCUCACUGUCCGCGUGUCCGCUCGUACAUACAUAAGUGCUACAGACGGAGUGACAAACGUACAGAAUCUCGAGCGCCGGAUCAAAAGCUUUGUGAGGUUUGGGGAUGUCAAUAUGUACUGCGGUCGUCGACCUCCAGGAAUGCUGGGAUCCGUCGCCUGAGAUGUACUUGAACGCGCAACACGAAGUAGCCCGAAUAGUCGACUGCGGUUGGAUCCCGAAGAAACACAUAAAAAUAAAAAAAAUAUAGUAACACCAACGCAAAUACAAAUAAAAAAUUACUUGGUGGUUUGAAGAUUAAUAAAAUGGUGACACGUGACUGGGAACAGAAAUAAUCGAAUAAAGGGAGAAGAAUCCCCGCCGGCUCCUGCUUCUUGAUGUUUCAUUAUUUACCAGCAGCUGUUGGCCGCGACUUCGUCUGCGAUGUUGAAUGUAAUCGUGUCACUCGCUUAGUGCUCAAUAAACUAUCAUUAAGUGA